rnacentral:rRNA from 1 species
GAGUUUGAUCAUGGCUCAGGACGAACGCUGGCGGCGUGCCUAAUACAUGCAAGUCGAGCGAACAGAUGAGGAGCUUGCUCCUCUGAUGUUAGCGGCGGACGGGUGAGUAACACGUAGGCAACCUGCCUCAUAGACUGGGACAACUUCGGGAAACCGGGGCUAAUACCGGAUAAUACUUUUCUUCGCAUGAAGGAAAAUUAAAAGUUGGCGUAAGCUAACACUAUGAGAUGGGCCUGCGGCGCAUUAGCUAGUUGGUAAGGUAACGGCUUACCAAGGCGACGAUGCGUAGCCGACCUGAGAGGGUGAUCGGCCACACUGGGACUGAGACACGGCCCAGACUCCUACGGGAGGCAGCAGUAGGGAAUCUUCCGCAAUGGACGCAAGUCUGACGGAGCAACGCCGCGUGAACGAUGAAGGCCUUCGGGUCGUAAAGUUCUGUUGUUAGGGAAGAACAAGUAUUGUUCGAAUAGGGCAGUACCUUGACGGUACCUAACCAGAAAGCCACGGCUAACUACGUGCCAGCCGCCGCGGUAC